CCUACGGGAGGCAGCAGUAGGGAAUAUUGCACAAUGGGCGAAAGCCUGAUGCAGCAACGCCGCGUGCGCGAUGAAGGCCUUCGGGUUGUUAAGCGCUUUUCUGGAGGACGAGGAAGGACGGUACUCCAGGAAUAAGGCUCGGCUAACUACGUGCCAGCAGCCGCGGUAAAACGUAGGAGCCAAGCGUUAUCCGAAUUCACUGGGCGUAAAGCGCGUGCAGGCGGUCUGGUAAGUUGGGUGUGAAAUCUCCUGGCUCAACUGGGAGAGGACGUUCAAUACUGUCAGACUCGAGGGCGGUAGAGGGAGGUGGAAUUCCCGGUGUAGUGGUGAAAUGCGUAGAUAACGGGAGGAACACCAGUGGCGAAAGCGGCCUCCCGGACCGCACCUGACGCUCAGACGCGAAAGCUAGGGGAGCAAACGGGAUUAGAAACCCCGGUAGUCCUAGCUGUAAACGAUGUUGACUGGGUGUUGGUGGGGUAAAAGCCAUCAGUGCCGAAGCAAACGCGAUAAGUCAACCGCCUGGGGACUACGGCCGCAAGGUUAAAACUCAAAGGAAUUGACGGGGGCCCGCACAAGCAGCGGAGCGUGUGGUUUAAUUCGAUGUUACACGAAGAACCUUACCCGGGUUUGACAUACAGGUGGUAGGGAACUGAAAGGGGACCGACCCUUCGGGGAGCUAUGAGAAGGGCGAAUUCCGGGGGCCUUUA
rnacentral:rRNA from 1 species